AAUAAAAUUGCAAAUGGCGGACGUAAACACCGGAGGCGGCAACUUUUACAAAUGCAUGGAUGAAUACGUAAAGCGUCUCAUAAUGAGCAGGAUGGCCAAUGGGCACCUCUUCUCUGGGCACAGGAACGCAGCCCUGUUUGGAUGGGAAACUGUUCUGAAAGAGAUGGGGUUGCUUGGUGUGGUAACCCCUGCCACAAAGUGGGAAAAAUUUAACCUACAAGAGCACAAGUUUGAGACCACUUAAGGGAGCUAAGGAAGCCACCCACCCACCUCAUGGACUGCACCAGAUUUGCCAGUUCUUGCUCCAAGGCACUUGCAAGUUCCUGGACAUUUCUGGGGGGAAUGGCCCUAACCCUCACCCUCCGUUCCAACAGGACCCAGACGUGCACAAUAGGAUUGAGAUCCAGGCUCUUCGCUGGCCAUGGCAGAACACUGACAUUCCUGUCUUGCAGGAAAUAAUGCACAGAUCGAGCUGUAUGGCUGGUGGCAUUGUCAUGCUGGAGGGACAUGUCAGGAUGAGCCUGCAGGAAGGGUACCACAUGAGGGAGGAGGAUGUCUUCCCUGUAAUGCACAGCAUUGAGAUUGACUGCAAUGAUAGCAAGCUCAGUCCGAUGAUGCUGUGACACACCGCCCCAGACCAUGACGGACCCUCCACCUCCAAAUCGAUCCAGAGUACAGGCCUCGGUGUAACACUCAUUCCAUCGACGAUGGACAGUGGAAUUUAUCUCUGCACAUCUGCAGUCCUCUUGCCUUCAUGUAGCAUGCCUAAGACAUGUUCAUGCAGAUGAACAGGGACACUGGGCAUCUUUCUUUUGGUGUUUUUCAGAGUCAGUAGAAAGAUCUCUUUAGUGUCCUAAGUUUUUAUAACUGUGACCUUGCCAUUUGUAAGCUGUUAGUGUCUUAAUGACCAUUCCACAGGUGCAUUUUCAUUAUUUGUUUAUGGUUCAUUGAACAAGCAUGGAAACA